UUAUUUAAUUACACAGCAAUUAUAUAUACUAAUACGAAUUUAUAGUUUUCUCAGCUGUCUUCUCGUAUUUUAAAAGAAUAAUAAUCGCUUUAGAGUUGAAAAGAUCAAUUCGAAAAAGCCAUCUUCGAAGAAUUCAUACUUUAUCAGAAGACUCAAAAUGAACUAUUUUAUAUUGAGUUUGGUUGCAGCUCUGUUAAUAUUGAAUGUAAAUUGUAUUACGAACGAUUAUCUAGUGAAUAAAAAUGGUUGCAGAAUUAGAUGUGAGAAUAACUCAUCUUGCGACUCUGCCUGCAAAGCCAAUAAUGCUGAAGGUGGAGUAUGUCCUUGGUCUUACAAAUGUUGGUGUUACGGUCUUCCUGAUUAUAUAACUACAAAAGA